GCCAGAGCAGGUGGGUAAGGGAAUGAGGAAAACAGACAAGAAUUUGUGGUAAAACCUGUGAAUACCAUUAGUGCUUGGAAUUAUCUGGGACAAUUUGUAUAGUUUCUGGGCCAGGUGAAACAAAUCUGAUAUAACCUGACUUCCCCCAAAGCUUUUUACCUUUUAGUCCAAGAACACAGGUGCACCUUGAGAGUGGCUGUCCUACCUGGGGACACCCAUAAGGCUCUGCUAGCACUUUUGCCACUCUCCAGGAGGAAGGACUUCAGAUAGCUCAUAACCAGUUUUAGGCAUUGAGCUGCUUUACUUUGAACAAAUAGAAAAGCAUUUGAGCCGACCUGGUUAACAUUUCUGACAGCAGAACUCUCCCUGCUGGCAGUGCUGUGGGAAAGACAUCCCCCCGCUUGUGGAUCAUGCGAAGCAGAGAGGAUUGGUGUAGAUAUACCAGCCCAAAGUUUCUGUGGCCUUCUUGAAACUAGAUGCCAAGUUAUGGCAUCUUUGGAGUACCUGGCAUCAGAAUAGCUUGCAGAAACCAGCUUCUAGCGUUCACACCCUCUCUGGGUGGGGGGACACACUUAAUCUACUUACAUGGCUAUAUUCUUCACUACAACCGAUUUAAAUCCAUCCUGCUGUGGGCAAGACACACCAGUACCUCCAAUUGCCAUCCUUCCCUGUUGGGUUUACUGGGAUGGCUGAGAGCAGUAACAACUUCUGUCACGAGGGCUAGCCACACACUGGAUGUCUCCAUCUAACUAACCACAAAUGGGAGCUGUCAGCCUCCACAGUCCAAAACCCAAGGCGCCAUAAAGACUGUGACUAACCUGACUGUGUGCUGCAAACCCCUCCAGAUGAGGGCUGGGAGGGCUCUUGUGGGCAAUAAUUUCUUCUGGCAUUAAUCACUAUAUCUUGUAAGUAACUGGUACGUAAUAAAUGCAAUAGAUUGAGAGCAUUCAAACUCCCUGUGUCAAUCUCACAUCUCUUCUUAUUUACUUGGGGGAAAAAAAAAAAAAAAAAAAGAUUAAAUAAAUAAGGUCAAAAGUUCUUCUUCAGAAUAUUGAAUUAAAUACACGAGCACAAGCUGUUUCAUGAAAGCUCUUGUAAGAAAUUUCAUUGGCUAUAUCACAUUUGCAAGGAUAAGCAGUUACUAGCU